UGGGCAACGGUCAAAGUUCGAAAUCUUGAUCGUUCUAUGGAAGGCGGUUGCUCUGAAACUUUGCCUAGGCAACUACAGGAGGAGGAUAAGGAGGGUGGUUCUGGAGGAUCAACAAGAAGGCCUAAUAUUAAUAAUUUCAGGAAUAUGAGCGGAGGGCUGUCGCCAGAUGAAUUUGCAUCUUUUCUGGAGCCUAUCUUUCGGAAAGUGGUUAGGGAGGAAGUGGAACGUGCAAUCCCGUGCUUUCAUGAUCCGUCCUUAAGUCUAUAUCGUAGAGCAUCAUCUAAUCCUGUUGGGACUUCUGAAGAAAGCAGUCUGCGACUGCAAUUUUUAACCAAAUUACCGGGAACCAUCUUCACUAACAGUCAGAUAGAAGCCGAGGAUGGUGCUCCUCUUAGGAUCGAACUAGUUGAUGGUAGGACAAAUGAGAGGGUUACAAGUGACCCCCUAUCUUCGAUAAAGAUCGAAAUCGUCGUCCUCAAUGGAGAUUUCGGGUCAGACGAGGAAGAGGAUUGGACCGAGAAGGAAUUCAAUGGCAAUAUCACUAGUGAAAGGGAAGGGAAAAGGCCAUUGAUAACCGGGGAGCUCACUGCGAUGUUGCAAGGAGGAAUUUGUUGCCUCCGUAAUUUGAUCAUCACUGACAACUCGAGCUGGAUGAGAUGUAGGAAAUUCAGAUUAGGAGCUCGAGCUGUUCAAAAGGUUACUGCAGAAAUAAGAAUAAGGGAAGCAAGAAGUGAAACUUUCGUCGUUAAAGAUCAUCGAGGAGUGUUGAACAAGAAGCACCACCCUCCAUCUCUGAGCGACGAAGUGUGGCGUUUAGAGAAAGUAGCCAAAGACGGCACUCUACAGAAGCGCAUGACUUCGAGAGGAAUCAACACUGUUCAAGAUUUCCUCCAGUUGUACGAAGCCGAUGCGUCCUCUCUGAAAAACAUAAUUGGCAAUCGGGUCACUGACCGGAUAUGGGAGACAAUGGUCAAACAUGCCAGGACCUGUGUUGUCGACGAUAGCAAGAUGUAUGCUUACUACCAAGCUUCGAACCAGGCCAGUAUAGUGUUCAAUUCGGUAAUGAAAGUUGCUCAAGCAACAGCGGACGGCCAAACUUACCAGUCGCUGGACAAAUUGACCCACUCCCAGAAGAUUUUGGUGCAGAACUUAAGAAGGCAAGCUUACUAUAACAAGAAUCAAUGGGUGCCGCUCAAUGCCUUACCCAGUAUCACUCCUCCAAGUGCCCUCACCAACUUGCCUACAGAGUCGUUAAUUGGACUGAGCCCGCUUCUUCAUCAUCUAGAUUACACAGUGGUAAACCAAGCUGAAAACGAACCGCACCUUUAUUCAGAUAGACCAGAAGUGACUGCAGAAUUUAAUUACUCAUUGGCUUCAACAUCGCACUGCUACAAUGUCACAGAGAACAGACAAUUAGAUUGUCUGGAGCCACAGAAUCAUAUUACGGCGAAAAUUAUUAAUCAGACUGUAGUAGACAGCUUAGCAAGGGAGGACUUUUUGUCCGAUCUUAGUGCCAGCGAAAGUAGUCAUCAUCCUGGUUACUCACAUGGACCAUUUGCGCGGAACCAUUCAUCUCCUGAGGAGCUAUUUAAAGUGCCAUCUUCGAUCCCUGGCAAUUGGAUGUGGACACCGGAGCAUACUUUUGUCAUCGGAUCGAGCAGUGGGGCAGAUUUCGGGAUCUGUCCAUCUGGCACAGGUUUCGGAGUUUGGAAUUCUAGGAUUUCAAAACCCAGAGCGGCGUGGUGCAAGAUCCGUGCCGUGGUGAAGUGGGGAUCGGUUCGGCGCAUCGUGGCUGCAAAGAGAACAGCAAUGUUCAAUUGUGCACAUUAUUAAGUUGUAUACAUGGAAAGUCCCAUUGCCCAAGAGAAUUUUGGGUGCUCCAGGAGCACGAAGCUCUCAUCCACCCAAGCCAAUCAUCACAUGCGAAGUAUCAACAAAUAAAGGAGGAAAGUCAUGAUACUUGAUGCGCGGUGAUUGUCUUGGGUGGAUGAGAAUGUCUUGUUCGGGAAGCACCAAAUUUCUCCAAAGCAUCUAAGGGGCAAGUUCUUGGCAAGAAAUUGAGUAUUGGAUUUAUUUCCUCUACGGUGAAUAUGUUGUGGGGACGAGGAGAUUGAGAAUGGAAUGUUCCUUAUGAACUUUCCCUCUUCCAGAACAUUGCACACUAUCCUCUUGUGCUGAGAAAAUGGAAGCCUGAAGUGCAAAGUUUGGAGGCCUCUGAUGUGAAAACUGUUGUUUGGGUCAAGCUACAGAGCGUUCCUCUGGAUCUUAUGGCAUUGGAGGGUGGUCUUGAGGGCUUCUUCUUCAAGGGUGAGAAAGGACUUAGGCAGGGUGAUCCUUUGUCGCAUCUAUUUGUUCUGGUGAUGGAGGUUUUGCCAAAAACAGUUCAAUAAUGCUGCAAGUCAAGGCAGAUCAAAAUACCAUUCUUAGUGCUCUAAGGCGAAACUUGCUCACUCCAAUUUUGCUGACGAUUUUGAUGAUAUUUUCUAAAGGGGGAUAUGGAUUCUUAAAAUGAAAUUUUGGCCUUGUUUCAGAGACUUAAGGACAUGCCAGGUCUUAUUCUUAACCCCCCAAAAGACUCGGUUAUAUCUAGCUGGCAUUGAGCGGCAGCAGGUGGAUGAGAUCAUAGCUCUUGGUAGCUUUUGAAGGGGCCAAUUGCCAGUUAGAUACCUUGGCCUUCCUGUGAUUUCAGCAAGGUUAAGUAAUGGAGAGUGCAAGCCUUUGAAUAAAAGAUUACUCUUCGAAUGAGUCCUUGGACAGUUAGGCAUCUCUCUUCAGCUGGAAGAUUGCGACCCGUAAAGGAAGUAAUCUACAGCUUGGUGAAUUUUGGGGCGAAAUUUUUUUGUUGCCAAACGACAUUGUCAAAAUGAUUAGAAGCAUUUGUAUUGUCUCCCCUUGGAAGGGAAAAUCUGAAAAUGCUUGAGGUUCAGAAGUUGUUGUGUCUUCCGAACUUUGAGAGUAGUUUAGGAUAAGAGGAAACCAGGACCUUGGAAUCUUGCUUGUAUCUUGCAAAACUUUUGGAGAUAUUGCUGCAGGCUGGACCCAUUUGGGUGGCCUUGCUCGACUGUUUUUUGCUUAAAGGACAGUCUAUUUGGGAAGUGAAUCCAACUGACCAGAGUAGUUAUGCUUGGAACAAGUUACUCAAAGCAACAUUUGUUUUAAAGCCCCGUAUCAAGUAUCUUAUCGGGGAUGAUAGAAGCGCAUCACUUUGGUUCCAUAACUGACAUGCUAAUGGAAUUCUGGAGGAUAUAGCAUCCUGGAAGAGUAGUAAAUGACUUCGCCUUGAACUCAUAUGCUAAAUUUGUUGUGGUUACUGAGGGUACGAAUGGCUAUGGCCUCUGACAAGGUCUGAAUGUUUGGUCAAGAUUCAAGCUGCAGUUCGUGAUCAUAU